ACAAGCGGCGGAGCAUGCGGAUUAAUUCGAUGCAACGCGAAGAACCUUACCAAGGCUUGACAUACACCGGUAACGCCCAGAGAUGGGUGCCCCUUUGUGGUCGGUGGACAGGUGGUGCAUGGUUGUCGUCAGCUCGUGUCGUGAGAUGUUGGGUUAAGUCCCGCAACGAGCGCAACCCUCGUCCUAUGUUGCCAGCGGGUCAUGCCGGGGACUCAUGGGAGACUGCCGGGGUCAACUCGGAGGAAGGUGGGGAUGACGUCAAGUCCUCAUGGCCUUUAUGCCCAGGGCUACACACGUGCUACAAUGGGCGGUACAAAGAGAAGCAACCUCGCGAGGGUGAGCAAAUCUCAAAAAGCCGUUCUCAGUUCGGAUUGAAGUCUGCAACUCGACUUCAUGAAGUCGGAAUCGCUGGUAAUCGCGGAUCAGCAUGCCGCGGUGAAUACGUUCCCGGGUCUU
rnacentral:rRNA from 1 species